AGUGAACGCUGGCGGUAGGCCUAACACAUGCAAGUCGAACGGCAGCACAGUAAGAGCUUGCUCUUACGGGUGGCGAGUGGCGGACGGGUGAGGAAUACAUCGGAAUCUACUUUUUCGUGGGGGAUAACGUAGGGAAACUUACGCUAAUACCGCAUACGACCUACGGGUGAAAGCAGGGGAUCUUCGGACCUUGCGCGAUUGAAUGAGCCGAUGUCGGAUUAGCUAGUUGGCGGGGUAAAGGCCCACCAAGGCGACGAUCCGUAGCUGGUCUGAGAGGAUGAUCAGCCACACUGGAACUGAGACACGGUCCAGACUCCGACGGGAGGCAGCAGUGGGGAAUAUUGGACAAUGGGCGAAAGCCUGAUCCAGCAAUACCGCGUGGGUGAAGAAGGCCUUCGGGUUGUAAAGCCCUUUUGUUGGGAAAGAAAAGCAGCAGGUUAACACCCCGCUGUUCUGACGGUACCCAAAGAAUAAGCACCGGCUAACUUCGUG
rnacentral:rRNA from 1 species